UACGAAGGGGGCUAGCGUUGCUCGGAAUUACUGGGCGUAAAGCGCACGUAGGCGGAUCAUUAAGUCGGGGGUGAAAUCCUGGAGCUCAACUCCAGAACUGCCUUCGAUACUGGCGAUCUUGAGUCCGGGAGAGGUGAGUGGAACUCCGAGUGUAGAGGUGAAAUUCGUAGAUAUUCGGAAGAACACCAGUGGCGCAGGCGGCGUCCUGGACCGGCACUGACGCUGAGGAGCGAAAGCGUGGGGAGCGAUCCGG
rnacentral:rRNA from 1 species